rnacentral:rRNA from 1 species
AACGUAGGUGGCAAGCGUUGUCCGGAUUUACUGGGCGUAAAGAGCGCGCAGGCGGUCGUUCAAGUCGCGUGUGAAAGCCCCCGGCUCAACUGGGGAGGGUCACGCGAUACUGAUCGACUCGAAGGCAGGAGAGGGUAGUGGAAUUCCCGGUGUAGUGGUGAAAUGCGUAGAUAUCGGGAGGAACACCAGUGGCGAAGGCGACUACCUGGCCUGUUCUUGACGCUGAGGCGCGAAAGCUAGGGGAGCAAACGGG